rnacentral:rRNA from 1 species
AACGGCCAUACCAUGCUGAAUAUACCGGUUCUCGUUAGAUCACCGAAGUCAAGCGUCAUUGGGCGCGGUCAGUACUUGGGUGGGUGACCACCUGGGAACACCGCGUGCCGUCG